CUGAGGUUUAAUGUGUAAGCCCUCGGGCCUCUGUGGCAUGCAUUGACCUGUUGGCAUCGCUGUUUGUUUUCUGCAGGAGUUGCUGUUGGAUGAGCUGGUGAUGGGCGUGGCCUUGCUCUUGUUGGAAGCCCCUUCAGAUCAGCUGACCAGCCUUCUCAGACUUGCACUGAGUUUGGUCCCUGAACAAGCGGAGGCGUCGCCCUGGUUGAGUCCGGUCCUGAUUCUCCCUGUGUUGCAGCUCCUGUCCUGCUUGGGUCUCACUGAGCCGCUGUCUGACCAGAACACACACAGCACCAACCACAGGCUGGCUCACAGCCUGCUGCGCAGCAUUAGCAGGCCCGCAGAUAAACCCUAGCAGCCUGCCCCAUCACUGACUCUGUCUCUGAGUUCCUGGUAUAGUGAGCUCAGCGUGUCUUUGUCGGUACUGCGCAAAGUGGCCAACAAUCCAGCGGCAGCGACCGAUUGGCUGUUGGCGGUCAGCUCCGCCCUGUCGUCCAGCCAGCGCCUGUCCUCCUCUCUUGUCCUGAUUGUGACUUAUCUCAUCAUCACGGGUCAGGAAAACAUCUGCCAGCUGGCUUUGAAAGCAAGCCAGGCUGUCGCUGCUGCCGACCCCUGCCAGGUAGAUAACCCACACAACUGGUUCUCUUAAAUCUGUGGACUGAAUAUAAAGUAAUGCAUGUUCCCUCUGACAUGUAGAUAUAUUGUAUGUAAGGGAGCUAGCUUGUGUUUGUCUUUCUAAGAGCAGUAAACACAUGUUGAUAACCUGGUAUUUUGGCACCAACACAUGACUUUGAAAUGGUUCAGAUCAGCAGGAAGAUAAAAGCUGUCACUGCUGUGUGAUUGCUGCUAAUCUGCUGCCGUAUAAAGGGAG
ensembl:lncRNA